rnacentral:rRNA from 1 species
GAGUUUGAUCGUGGCUCAGGAUGAACGCUGGCGGCGUGCCUAACACAUGCAAGUCGGGCGAAGCAUACAGGAGGAAGUUUUCGGAUGGAAUCCUGCAUGGCUGAGCGGCGGACGGGUGAGUAACGCGUGGGGUAACCUGCCUUAUACAGGGGGAGUAACAGUUAGAAAUAGACUGCUAAUAACCGCCAUAAGCGCACAGUACCGCAUGGUAGUGUGUGAAAACUACCGGUGGUAUAAGAUGGACCCGCGUCUGACUAGCCA